CACGAUUCCUGCCGCCAGGAACCAGCACCUCCUACCUGCCGAUUUAUUAAUUUGAAAAUGAAGCCCGCCUGUCGAGAGGGGGACAGUUCUUCUCAAUCUGUCAUCGUUGAACCACACGCUCCUGACACCGGGAUUCAUUUGUCUUGUCGGCUCUGACAGUUGGAUUCUCCCAGAGCUCUUCCUAGCGGAUCGCCCUGGGAUUUUAAACCGGAUGAAACACAUUCCGACAAGGAACAGCCUCUUUAUUAAUGCAAAUUACAUGAGGAGGAGAGAAAAAAAGAGAGAAAGAGAGAGGCGCCGGCAGCCGCUGUGGCGUUCUUAUCCCUGUAUCAGUCAUCCGUUAUUUACAUUUAUACACAUUUUUCAGUUUUAAUAAAAGGAGACCCGGAUUUUCAGUGACAUUUAUGGACAGUUUGUUUCAAAAAAAUGAUGCCAUCAAUGUAAUUGUAUGCAAAAGAAAGCCGCGCAGCGCUCUCCUCUGUUUGCGCUGUGUCCAGGGAGCCUGGCCGCACCUCCUUCCUGAUGCACACUACCGGGAGCAGCUUGGGUACCACCUGACCACCAGCAUCCCAGCACCCGCGGGACCCUCAGCUCCUUGACAGUGCCCUACUUCCAGCAUCCACCAGAGCCCUGGCCACAUGGGCUGCCUGGACUGUCACCGGUCCCACUUAGGACCCUGGAGGCCUUUACAUUACCAACGACCAAGGGCACAAUUAACCUUCAGACCCAUAUAUCACAGGGUCCCACCAAAACUAGAGCAGAUUAGGAAAAUGCAUUAAAAUCUUUUUUAAAUAAUAA